rnacentral:lncRNA from 1 species
UAUUUUGCUUAGUUUCAUACCCUCUAUAUCAUCCUUUUGUAUUUGAUGAUUUUAGUAUUAUGAAUGAUGUAAUAAGAGUUUAUGUUUAAAUGUAAAAGCUUAAGUUUUUGGAUGCAAACAUGUUAUGUAAUUUUGGGAGAUCAUGUGAUGUAAAAAGAAAUGAUGAAAAGAAUGUAAAUGUAACAUAUAGUUGAAUGCAUGUAUGUGAUUAAAAGAUAAUCAUUGUACUUGUAUGAAUGUUAGUUUAGUACUUUCACUUUUGGCUAUUGCUUUCCCUCAUGCAAGCUAUGUAUAUGUAUGUUUCUGCUUGCGCAAAUCUCUAUAAACAUGAUCUGUACUUGUUGAGCCUUAGGCGGACAGGGGAGGUGCUGUUCGUUCGGCGUCUAUUCGACGUGCCCGAACCGACCAAAUAGGCUAGGCUUAGGGUGUGACAGAUAUAAUGGUAUUAGAGCCUGAAAAGUGAAAAUAUAGGAAGGACCUAGGGACCCUUAGGAAUGGAAAAACUUAGGGAUCUAGGAAACGUGAGUGACGUAGAAUCAAAAUAUAGCGAAAGC